rnacentral:rRNA from 1 species
GACGAACGCUGGCGGCGUGCUUAACACAUGCAAGUCGAACGGAAAGGCCCUGCUUUUGUGUUGUUCUCGAGUGGCGAACGGGUGGGUAACACGUUAGUAACCUGCCCUUUACUUUGGUAUAACUUCAGGAAACUGGGGCUAAUACCGGAUAGGAGCUCCUGCUGCAUGGUGGGGGUUGGAAAGUUUCGGCGGUUGGGGAUGGACUCGCGGCUUAUCAGCUUGUUUGUGGGGUAGUGGCUUACCAAGGCUUUGACGGGUAGCCGGCCUGAGAGGGUGACCGGCCACAUUGGGACUGAGAUACGGCCCAGACUCCUACGGGAGGCAGAAGUGGGGAAUAUUGCACAAUGGGCGGAAGCCUGAUGCAGCAACGCGGCGUGCGGGAUGACGGCCUUCGGGUUGUAAACCGCUUUCGCCUGUGACGAAGCGUGAGUGACGGUAAUGGGUAAAGAAGCACCGGCUAACUACGUG